CCGCUGGUGGACGGCCAGCAGCGUCUCGCCGUCCAGACCGGCGAGCGUGGCGUGGAUCGUGACCGUCGCGGCGGUC
rnacentral:tRNA from 1 species